CCUACGGGUGGCAGCAGUGGGGGAUAUUGCACAAUGGGGGGAACCCUGAUGCAGCGACACCGCGUGGGUGAAGAAGCGCCUCGGCGCGUAAAGCCCUGUCAGCAGGGAAGAAAAUGACGGUACCUGAAGACGAAGCCCCGGCUAACUACGUGCCAGCAGCCGCGGUAAUACGUAGGGGGCAAGCGUUAGCCGGAUGUACUGGGUGGAAAGGGGGCGCAGACGGCGAUGCAAGCCAGGAGUGAAAGCCCGGGGCCCAACCCCGGGACUGCUCUUGGAACUGCGUGGCUGGAGUGCAGGAGGGGCAGGCGGAAUUCCUGGUGUAGCGGUGAAAUGCGUAGAGAUCAGGAGGAACACCGGUGGCGAAGGCGGCCUGCUGGACUGCAACUGACGUUGAGGCCCGAAAGCGUGGGGAGCAAACAGGAUUAGAUACCCCUGUAGUC
rnacentral:rRNA from 1 species